UGUUCGAGCGUCAUUACAACCCUCAAGCUCUGCUUGGUAUUGGGCCAGCCCCCAGGGGCUCUCCCCAAAUUCAGUGGCGGUGCCUGUCGGCUUCAAGCGUAGUAAUUUCUCUCGCUUCGGAGGACCGGCGGUCCCUUGCCAGCAACCCCCAAUUUUCUAUGGUUGACCUCGGAUCAGGUAGGGAUACCCGCUGAACUUAA
rnacentral:misc_RNA from 1 species